AUUGAACGCUGGCGGCAGGCCUAACACAUGCAAGUCGAGCGAGCGGCGGACGGGUGAGUAAUGUAUGGGGACUGCCCGAUAGAGGGGGAUAACUACUGGAAACGUUGGCUAAUACCGCAUACUAUCGGAUAACCCAUAUGGGAUUAGCUAGUAGGGGUGGUAAAGGCUCACAUAGGCGACGAUCUCUAGCUUGUCUGAGUGGAUGAUUAGCCAGCCUGGGACUGAGACACGGCCAGGACUCCUACGGAGGCAGCAGUGGGGAAUAUUGCACAAUGGGCGCAAGCCUGAUGCGGCCAUGCCGCGUGUCUGAAGAAGGCCUCAGGGCUGUAAAGUACUUUCAGCGGUGAGGCGUGACCCGCAGAAGAAGCACCGGCUAACUCCGUGCCAGCCGCCGCGGUAAUAC
rnacentral:rRNA from 1 species